AUUGAACGCUGGCGGCAGGCCUAACACAUGCAAGUCGAGCGGGGCGGCGGACGGGUAAGGAAUGCUUAGGAAUCUGACUGGUAGUGGGGGAUAGAGUCAGGAAAUGGACGCUAAUACCACAUCCUAUCACAAGAGCCUCGGCCGGAUUAGCUAGGUGGGGGGGUAAAGGCCUACCAAGGCGACGAUCCGUAAACGGUCUGGGAGGAUGAUCAGGCAAACUGGAACGGAGACACGGUCCAGACUCCUACGGGAGGCAGCAGUGGGGAAUAGUGGACAAUGGGCGAAAGCCUGAUCCAGCCAUGCCGCGGGUGUGAAGAAGGUCUUCGGAUUGUAAAGCACUUUAAGUUGGGAGGCGUUACCAACAGAAUAAGCACCGGCUAACUUCGUGACAGCCGCCGCGGUAAUUC
rnacentral:rRNA from 1 species